GGACGGGCGUUGCCAGGGAAUGGGCUGCGCUCCUCCUUUCGGCCCCGACUCUAGCGGGUGACUGCGGUAGGCGGGCGGCGGGGCGGGAGGGAAAACCGUCCUAGAGUCGGGUUCCGCAGAGGUUGGAGACCCUGAGCGCAGAAGUCUUUGAAAACUGAGGGACGCCUACAAGAGCAAUACAUCUCCAAGUAUCCCGGAAAACAGGGAGCGUCGACUCAAAGCUAACCUAGAGAUCGAAGCUUUGGGAGGGUUUGGUUUGGUUUGGUUUGCUAUUUUGGUAUUUAUUUUUCUCUUUGCUUUCCGCUUUGGCUGGGUAAAAAGAAAGGGCUGUUUGCUAUACUAUUUCAUGAGGUGAAAUAAUAAGGGAAAGUAGAAUAUUCUAAAUGCAUUUUCUUUAUCUAGUUCGUUUAUUGAGAGAAACUGCAGGCCUCCUUAGACACAGGAACUGGCCCUGAAAAGCGCUCCUUGUGGGGCGGUGCCCUAGUGGAAUAUACAAACCCAGUGAUGAUCGCUGGCAUCUCCACCUGGAGUUCAGCAUACAGGUGAUCAUCGUGUCUUCUCUACAAUGGAGGAGGUUCAGGUUUGUCAUGGGAAAGUAGAUAGUCAAAUUGGCGCAAAAGGGUGCAAGGUCAUGGCAAGGACACUACUGGACGCAUCUUAGCUCCUUGUCCUUCUCUAACUUCUUGGCUGGCCCCCAUCACUCCCGGCAUAGUAGACAUAUAGUUCCUGUAUUGUUUUCCUGUUGCCUUUUGUCAGUGUAUUUCAUAGGCAAAAAUGUCGAAAACCUUAGAGGGGGGAAUUUAAAGCUUCUCUACAUAGCCAUGUGAUAAUUCACUCCAAAAAUAGCUAUCACUCAUCAUUUCUCAUAGUUAAUAUUUAUUUUGCAAGUGAACGUCCAUUGACUAUACAGUGAUUGAUUUGAAUACUGAAAGUGCAGAACUCAGGGUUUGGUUUUGUUUUUUCUAAUUGCCAUCACAGGAUGCUGCAUAGGCACAGACACCCCUGGGAACUAGGAAGUUACAGACCUGUAAGUUACUGCAGUGACAGAUCUGGCUCAGUGUCUGUCUAACAGUAGGCCAAGUAGAAUUGCUAAGUAAAUCAAAUGAAGUGUCAUUUAUAACAACUGGUAUAACAGUUGAAACAAAUACACUGGUUAAGGAUAAUUCAAAACAUUUAACAGAAAUUUGUCCCCUCAAGAUUUCUUUUGCUUUCUACUUCAACGAAAGUCCUCCCCUAAAUCAAAGUUUUGAUUUUGUUGCUUCUUUCAAUUUAAAAAAAAAAAAAAAGUUCAUUAGAGAUGAGGAAACCAAAGCCCAAGAACUUCCAAGCUGACACAACUAAUAGAGAUGCCAGACAAGGACCCAAACAGUUUUCAUCUUUAUGAUAAUCCUUUGGCCCAAAAGUCUCAUCAUUUUCCUUAAAAUGUUGUAUGUUUUUUAGAGAAGUCACAAUACCCUCUAGUUCAUAUGCCUGUUUUAUUCUAAAUUGAUAUGUAGUACUACAUUGUUUGUUGGUUGAAUAAAUGAAUAGAUCUUUUAUCACACCCAAGUCUUAAGGUUCAUAUAUAAGUUUUCACCUGUAGCCCAGGUAGUUCCCAAAACUGCUCACUAGGCUGGAAGGGUUCUCCAAAUCCAUUAGAAGAUGGAAGAGGUAAGGGGAAGGAACUUCCAGCUUCUAUUCUGCCACAAAGAAAGGUUCAACAUCGUCCACUGCUCCUCUCCUUGCUGCAUCUUCAGGUAUUGCUGUGGGAAAAAAUUAGACUCACAGCUCCCACACAACAAGGUGGGAGCCCUGGUUAGCCAUUCUGAUACAGUCCUUUAUGCCAUCAUGGGGCAGGAGGGCAGUGUCAUUGUAGUGGUCAAGAGCCCAGGCUCUAUAGUUGGGGAAGCCUAGGAUCAAAUCCUAGCUCAGCAUUCAGAAAGCUUUGUGAUCGGCAGCACUCCACCUUCCUGAAUCUAGUCUUACCUGCAACACAGGGAUGAUGGUAAUGACACCUACUAUAUAGGAUGGUCAAGGUUACAUUAGAGAGGCCUGUGCUAUGGCACAUUGGAUUAAAGCCCUGGCCUGCAGCGCCAGCAUCCCAUAUGGGUGUCGGUUCAAGUCCUGGCUGCUCCACUUCUGAUCCAGCUCCCUGUUGGUGAGCCUGGGAAAGCCAUGGAAGAUGGCGCAAGUGCUUGGGCCCCUGCACCUGCAUGGGAGACCCGGAAGAAGCUCCUGGCUCCUGGCUUCAGAUCUGCCCAGCUCCAGCCGUCGCGGCCAUCUGGGGAGUGAACCAGCAGAUAGAAGACCUCUCUUUCUCUCUCUCUACUCCUGUCUGUAAUCCUUUCAAAUAAAGUAAAUCUUAAAAUUGUUUUAAAAUUACAUUAAAAGAAGAAAAUACAAGCCGGCGCCGCGGAUCACUAGGCUAAUCCUCCGCCUAGCGGCACCGGCACACCUGGUUCUAGUCCCAGUCGGGGCGCCGGAUUCUGUCCCGGUUGCCCCUCUUCCAGGCCAGCUCUCUGCUGUGGCCAGGGAGUGCAGUGGAGGAUGGCCCAGGUGCUUGGGCCCUGCACCCCAUGGGAGACCAGGAAAAGCACCUGGAUCCUGCCAUCGGAUCAGCGCGGUGCGCCGGCCGCAGCGCGCCGGCCGCGGCAGCCAUUGGAGGGUGAACCAACGGCAAAGGAAGACCUUUCUCUCUGUCUCUCUCUCUCACUGUCCACUCUGCCUGUCAAAAAAUAAAAAAAAUAAAAAAAUAAAAAAAAGAAGAAGAAAAUACAUGUAAACAACACAAUGCCUACUAAAUAAUAAAAAGUAAGAUGGUUCAUCUUUAUCAUGACUUGAACUCUUGGUUAACUCACUUGGCCAAAAUUCCCUACAGAUCACAUCAAAUGGUGUGCAAGAUACAGAAUAAUAAAUUAUAAUUUGGGUAUGAAAGAUGUUUGGAGGGUUAGAAACUUGUCAUUGCUAGACAGUAAUGUAGUGGUGACUCUCCAGAGGGGACAAAAGUGCAGACCUAGCCCAGGGGAAUAUCCCCAGGCCUGGGUCAUCCCAGGCUAGCAGGGGUGACUCCCACAAGCUGAGAGAUGUGAGUGCUGGCCCUUAGGCAAUGGCAAGAAAACACAGCCACUCCACCUUUGGGAAGAGAGGAGUUCCUCACCAAGUCCCAGAACUCCGAUUUCUAGAAUUUUAGCUCAGCAGAGGAGUUUCUCACAACAUCAGGUGCUGCUACACUGCCACAGUUUGUGCUUGCAUAGGUCGACUGCAUUGCUUUCUUUUAAAGGUGAAUAGCAGCUGUGGCGGGGGGCCUCUGCACUGGGAUGAACAGCGCUCCUAGUGGAGGCAGAGAGCACAGCCGGAACGUGGCCAGCACCAUGGUAGCAGUUGAACUGACCAUGCUAUGGUGGGAUUUACAAGUUGUUAUGUUUGGCAAGCCACAAAGCAUACAGAGCCUCAAGUAAAACAAGUCUUGCAGGUCUACCAAAAUCUGUUUUUCACGGUGGUUUUCACAGAGGUGGCUUUGAACCCAAAAUGACAAAACAGGAAGCAGCAUGAAAACUAGAUGUAAGAUUUACUGUCAAUAAAGGAAAAAUAAGAGAUGCUCAUUGAUGAACUAUGCUCUUAAAUCACCCAAAGGAGGAUAUCCUUAUAUAGUAGCAAAAAAAAAAAUCAAUGAAAAUAAAGAUUGGCCGGCGCCGCGGCUCACUAGUCUAAUCCUCCGCCUGCGGCACCAGCACACCGGGUUCUAGUCCCGGUUGGGGUGCCAGAUUCUGUCCCAGUUGCCCCUCUUCAAGGCCGGCUCUCUGCUGUGGCCCGGGAGUGCAGUGGAGGAUGGCCCAAGUGCUUGGGCCCUGCACCCGCAUGAGAGACCAGGAGAAGCACCUGGCUCCUGGCUUCAGAUAGGCGCGGUGCGCCACCAGAGGGGCCACUGGGGGGUGAACCAACGGAAAACGAAGACCUUUCUCUCUUUCUCUCUCUCACUGUCCACUCUGCCUGUAAAAAAAAAAAAAAAAAAAAAAAAAAAAAAAAAAAAAAAAAAAACACACACACAACUCCCAUCCCCUGGUUUACAUCCCAAAUGCCUGUAAUGUCUGCAGUUGGGCAGGGGCCAGAGCCAAGUACCAGGAGCACAAUCGGGUCUCCCACAUAGGAGGCUGGAACCCUAUUACUUUACUGCAUUGGUAAGAAGCUGGAGUCAGAAGGCAAGGCUGGGAAUUGAACUCAGGCAUUUUGGUGUGGGACACAGACAUUUUAAUUGUUAGACCUGGCUGUUGCAGCCAGGAAGUGAACCCCAGUGGGUGAGAGAUUCUCUCUCUCUCUCUUUCUCUCUCUUUGCCUUUCAAAUAAAAAAAUAUUUUAAAAAGCAAAUCAGAUAGGAAUAAAUAAGUUUUAGAAACCAACACUAUGAUACCAUUGCCUCUUAUUCUUACCUUGAUCAGUGUUCCUUACUUCAUUUGACUUCAAGUUACUGUCUGAUGUUCUUUCAUUUUAAGAUAAAAGAUUC